rnacentral:rRNA from 1 species
AUGGUAAGCAAGAUGAACAAAAGAAAAAGGAUGGCUAGGAGAGCCGCUUUUUUUGUUGCACUAGCUGCAAUGGCAGUCAUUGUUCGGGCUAUAAUAAGGAAGAGGAGACCACGUACUACCUAUGGCCCAAUGCAUGAAAGAGAUCGAAUCAGAUUUGGUUAUCUAAACCAAAAAAAUUGGCAAAGCGAUGUGUUAUGCAAAAACAUGCUAACGUUUGAAAGAGCUACAUUUUUCGCUUGUGUGGCAUAUUGA